ensembl:lncRNA
GAGAUCCCUCCCUUGUGGAGUCUUUUGUGUGAGCGUAGAUCUUCAGAAACAUCAGGGACCAUCUUUACACUAUUUGAGCACAUGCGGGUUUCCAUCAAAGGCAAAGGAGCAGUGGGUGCUGAGUUGGGCCUAAUGAUAUCAAGAGGCACAGGGACAGAUACAAGGAUGAAUUUCCACAUGAUGUGAACUUUGAGGAAGACCAGGCUACCAAGCACUUGUGAUUCAAUUUCCAUCUGUCACAGAGCGCUGAAAUCAAGAGAGCCGCUAAUGCACUUAAGAGGCAGAGAUCAGAAAUGGAAAAGACAGAAAAAAACUAUUGCUAGUCACACAAGAACAGCAAAGAAGAUGGAUAAUCUACUCUGAAAUCAUUAAGAAUAACUAUGUGUUUCUGUAACCAUUCAAAAUGAGAUAGCACGCAACAGGGAGGCUUAUUCUUACCUUGAUCUCCUUAAUAGCUCUUCUAUAAUAAGUGAACAUAACAAACUGCCUAAGUUGUCCUCUAAGCAGUUUUGCUCCAGGCAUACUCUCAGCAAGAAAAUAAAAGGCC